ACGGUAACAGGCCUUCGGGCGCUGACGAGUGGCGGACGGGUGAGUAACGCGUAGGAAUCUGCCUUAUAGUGGGGGACAACGUGGGGAAACCCACGCUAAUACCGCAUACGCCCUACGGGGGAAAGGAGGGGAUCUUCGGACCUUUCGCUAUGAGAUGAGCCUGCGUUAGAUUAGCUAGUUGGUAGGGUAAAGGCCUACCAAGGCGACGAUCUAUAGCUGGUCUGAGAGGACGAUCAGCCACACUGGGACUGAGACACGGCCCAGACUCCUACGGGAGGCAGCAGUGGGGAAUAUUGGACAAUGGGCGAAAGCCUGAUCCAGCAAUACCGCGUGUGUGAAGAAGGCCUUAGGGUUGUAAAGCACUUUCAAUUGGGAGGAAAACCUGCCGGUCAAUACCCGGUAGCUUGACAUUACCUUUAGAAGAAGCACCGGCUAACUCCGUGCCAGCAGCCGCGGUAAUACGGAGGGUGCGAGCGUUAAUCGGAAUUACUGGGCGUAAAGCGUGCGUAGGUGGUUCGUUAAGUCAGAUGUGAAAGCCCUGGGCUCAACCUGGGAACUGCAUUUGAAACUGGCGGACUAGAGUUUAGUAGAGGGGAGUGGAAUUUCAGGUGUAGCGGUGAAAUGCGUAGAUAUCUGAAGGAACACCAGUGGCGAAGGCGACUCCCUGGACUAAAACUGACGCUGAGGUACGAAAGCGUGGGUAGCAAACAGGAUUAGAUACCCUGGUAGUCCACGCCGUAAACGAUGUCGACUAGCCGUUGGUCCUAUUUACAGGAUUAGUGGCGCAGCUAACGCAUUAAGUCGACCGCCUGGGGAGUACGGCCGCAAGGUUAAAACUCAAAUGAAUUGACGGGGGCCC
rnacentral:rRNA from 1 species